AUGGCGGCGGCAGAUGCGGCAGUGCGGGUGACCGUAGAGGAGAAAGCCAUCCGCGUCCGCAUUGAGAAGAAACGACAGCGGAGGAACACGUGCGCCCUCGCCCGAGAGCAAAAUCGGGCGGUUUUCCGUGCCAUGGCUGAACUGUCACUGAAGGAGGACAGCGACGGCGAGGACAACUCCGGCGACGAGCAGAUCCGGCUCGAUCCCUACUGCGUCUUUGACCGGUACUUCCGCGAGAAGGACGGCAAGGGCGCUGGGAAAGGCAAAGGGCAGCCGUGUAUGAUCUUUACCACAACACAUGCAAAAAUUUGGUAG
rnacentral:rRNA from 1 species